CCCACCAACCACCUUGACCUAGUCAUCAAUCUAAAGUGCCACCUAAGAAUCUUCAAUUUGAAAAUGAUAAAAUAAUCUCUGAACUUAGAAGUAAUAGGAUUCUUAAGGACCCACAUCUAGAUUAGGUAAGAGAGGCUAGUACUGAUGCUAGCCAAAAUAAAAAUUUGAAAGAAGAGGUUAGUACUGAGACUAAUCCAAAAGAAGAAUUUGAGCCUGAAACUGAUACUGAGAAGAGAGCGGAUGAGUUAUCCGAGAUAUAUUCAUUAAGAGUUUCAUUUUCUUCAGCCUUAGA
rnacentral:lncRNA from 1 species